CCUACGGGAGGCAGCAGUGAGGAAUAUUGGUCAAUGGACGAGAGUCUGAACCAGCCAAGUAGCGUGAAGGAUGACUGCCCUAUGGGUUGUAAACUUCUUUUAUAUGGGAAUAAAAUGUUCCACGUGUGGGAUUUUGUAUGUACCAUAUGAAUAAGGAUCGGCUAACUCCGUGCCAGCAGCCGCGGUAAUACGGAGGAUCCGAGCGUUAUCCGGAUUUAUUGGGUUUAAAGGGAGCGUAGGUGGAUUGUUAAGUCAGUUGUGAAAGUUUGGGGCUCAACCGUAAAAUUGCAGUUGAAACUGGCAGUCUUGAGAACAGUAGAGGUAGGCGGAAUUCGUGGUGUAGCGGUGAAAUGCUUAGAUAUAACGAAGAACACCGAUUGCGAAGGCAGCUUACUGGACUGCAACUGACACUGAGGCUCGAAAGUGUGGGUAUCAAACAGGAUUAGAUACCCGAGUAGUC
rnacentral:rRNA from 1 species